AGGGUUUGAUCAUGGCUCAAACGAACGCUGGCGGCGUGGAUAAGACAUGCAAGUCGAACGGGACAGUCUGGUAGCAAUAUUAGAUUGUUCAGUGGCGAACGGGUGCGUAACACGUGGGUCACAUUCCGGGAAGUGAGAAAUAGCCCAGGGAAACUUGGAUUAAUAUCUCAUGUGGUCGCAAGACUAAAGGCGCAAGCCGCUUCCUGAUUGGCCCGCGGCCUAUCAGCUUGUUGGUGAGGUAAUGGCUCACCAAGGCAGCGACGGGUAGCUGGUCUGAGAGGACGACCAGCCACACUGGAACUGAGACACGGUCCAGACACCUACGGGUGGCAGCAGUCGAGAAUCUUUCACAAUGGGGGAAACCCUGAUGGAGUGACGCCGCGUGGAGGUUAAGGUCUUCGGAUUGUAAACUCCUGUCAUGCGAGAACAAAGCCCUCACGGGUGUGAUAGUAUCGCAAGAGGAAGAGACGGCUAACUCUGUGCCAGCAGCCGCGGUAAUACAGAGGUCUCAAGCGUUGUUCGGAAUUACUGGGCGUAAAGGGUGCGCAGGCCGCGCGGGCAGUCAAAUGUGUAAUUCAGGGGCUCAACCCCUGCACUGCGCUUGAUACUUCCGCGCUCGAACCUUGGAAAGGAGUCUGGAAUUCUCGGUGUAGCAGUGAAAUGCGUGGAUAUCGAGAAGAACACUUAGGGCGAAAGCAAGACUCUGGACAAGUGUUGACGCUCAUGCACGAAGGCUAGGGUAGCGAACGGGAUUAGAUACCCCGGUAGUCCUAGCUGUAAACGGUGCACGUUUGGUGUGGGAGGCAACCCCUUCCGUGCCGAAGCUAACGCGAUAAACGU
rnacentral:rRNA from 1 species